GAAGCAGCCAUCAUUUAAAGAAAGCGUAAUAGCUCACUGGUCGAGUCGGCCUGCGCGGAAGAUGUAACGGGGCUAAACCAUGCACCGAAGCUGCGGCAGCGACGCUUAUGCGUUGUUGGGUAGGGGAGCGUUCUGUAAGCCUGUGAAGGUGUGCUGUGAGGCAUGCUGGAGGUAUCAGAAGUGCGAAUGCUGACAUAAGUAACGAUAAAGCGGGUGAAAAGCCCGCUCGCCGGAAGACCAAGGGUUCCUGUCCAACGUUAAUCGGGGCAGGGUGAGUCGACCCCUAAGGCGAGGCCGAAAGGCGUAGUCGAUGGGAAACAGGUUAAUAUUCCUGUACUUGGUGUUACUGCGAAGGGGGGACGGAGAAGGCUAUGUUGGCCGGGCGACGGUUGUCCCGGUUUAAGCGUGUAGGCUGGUUUUCCAGGCAAAUCCGGAAAAUCAAGGCUGAGGCGUGAUGACGAGGCACUACGGUGCUGAAGCAACAAAUGCCCUGCUUCCAGGAAAAGCCUCUAAGCAUCAGGUAACAUCAAAUCGUACCCCAAACCGACACAGGUGGUCAGGUAGAGAAUACCAAGGCGCUUGAGAGAACUCGGGUGAAGGAACUAGGCAAAAUGGUGCCGUAACUUCGGGAGAAGGCACGCUGAUAUGUAGGUGAAGUCCCUCGCGGAUGGAGCUGAAAUCAGUCGAAGAUACCAGCUGGCUGCAACUGUUUAUUAAAAACACAGCACUGUGCAAACACGAAAGUGGACGUAUACGGUGUGACGCCUGCCCGGUGCCGGAAGGUUAAUUGAUGGGGUCAGCGCAAGCGAAGCUCUUGAUCGAAGCCCCGGUAAACGGCGGCCGUAACUAUAACGGUCCUAAGGUAGCGAAAUUCCUUGUCGGGUAAGUUCCGACCUGCACGAAUGGCGUAAUGAUGGCCAGGCUGUCUCCACCCGAGACUCAGUGAAAUUGAACUCGCUGUGAAGAUGCAGUGUACCCGCGGCAAGACGGAAAGACCCCGUGAACCUUUACUAUAGCUUGACACUGAACAUUGAGCCUUGAUGUGUAGGAUAGGUGGGAGGCUUAGAAGUGUGGACGCCAGUCUGCAUGGAGCCGACCUUGAAAUACCACCCUUUAAUGAUUGAAGAACUAAAGUUGAC
rnacentral:rRNA from 1 species